rfam:Aedes aegypti strain Liverpool supercont1.153 genomic scaffold, whole genome shotgun sequence.
UGUCCAGUAACUCCUAUCCCUACUUCCCCGUGGUGGCGCCAGAGGUACGAGUAACCAACCCUGAUGGGACCUUGGUCGUAUGAUGCCAGGGAAGG